GAGGAGGAAGCCAGCGGAGCAGGCGGUGGGAUCCCGUGUGCCCUGCAAAGGUGUCAGCCCCGAGGGGACUGAGCUUGCCAGUCCACCUGGAGCGAGGUAGACUUGGGGGAGGCAGGCAAGGUCAGUUGCUAAGUGGCUCCCUCCUCGGGGAUGGUGAGGACGUCUGCUGCUCUCCAGUGCCUGCCUGGUGCCUCUGGGUCACACUCGGCUGUCUCCUCCCAGACACUUGAUUUUUCGAAAGGGACACACCUUUCUGCAGGAAGGAAGACUGGCCAGACUGCGAGCGUUUCCACCCCAUCUGUCCAGCAUUCCCGCCCUCCUCCGCACCCCGGGGAAGCGUGGCCCGUCUUCACCGUGAGGCUUUUGCCUCCUAAGCCUGGAUUUCCGGCUGGUUCGCUGGGGGUGGCUGUGGAUGCCCAGGCAGACUGACCCGGCAGGAGUGUUUGUGCAUGGGAUCGGAGACCAUGGCAGUGCAGCUGGUGCCGGACUCUGCUCUCAGCCUGCUGAUGCUGCAAGAGACACAGUGACUGCCAGGGGCCUCCAAAGAAGAAAGAGGCAUAAGUGGGCAGGAAGAUAGGGAGGAGAUGCAGUCAGCGCCUCUUCUGUGGCAGUGGUAGAAGACCCAAGGCUAGGCAGUUUCCCCCUUCCUUAAAUGAAGAAUUAGGCACAGGAGGAUAGAAGAAUGUGCUUAAACGAGAAACAGCACAGAAUGAAAUUGAGAGGUUAGUGGGUCAUUCAUAAUGUGAUAUGAUCGAGUACAAUUAAGAGAUUUGCCGACUGAUAAAUGUUUCCGAAUACACGUGGCUCUAACUGCUCUUCCAUCCCUUUCACUGGGAAUGGAUUUACGGAUUGAAGAGCUGUUUAAUUUUUAAUUUUAAGUCCUUUUAUAAAUUCCGGUUUUAUUAAUCUUCAUCAUAAAUUAUAAUUUAUGAGCACAGAUGCCUAACAGGGCCUCAGGGUUCUGGCUCACAAAGGAAAAUGAGUAUCACUCUGCAGAAAGGCAGGAGGCAGCCGCCUGUGCAGAGCCUGGGGGUGUGCCUUCGGCUGGGGUGACCCUAACCCCAGCAGACACCCCUCCACAGGUGAGGAACAGCACCCUAGUGUAAGCAGCCUGUCCAAGGCACUCUGACAUCCCAGGCGCUGAGGAGUCUUAGCUGUCUGCUCUCGAACCUGAAGUCCUUUUCUCUCCGUCUCUUCCUGCCCCGCUGGACAAAGGCUUCCUCAGCGAUCCUUCCAGAUCAUUCCAGAUCCCCGGAAGUGCCACUGCGAUCAGAGCCUGAGCACCUGGACCCCACCAGGGCUCACUCUUGGUGGGGUUCUGUCCUCUCUCCCAGGACCGUUGCCCCCAGUGGCCCUGUGUUUAGUAUCUGAGGACCCUCGGCACUGAUUUCCACAGAGGCCACACAAAUGUGCACAGCAAGGUAGAAGGGUUUCUUUCCCCAUACUGUCGCCAGCGGUUAUUGUUUUCUUGUGUUCUUCAUGGUAGGUUUUCUGACUCGGUGAGGUAGACUCUCAAGACAGUUCGGCUUGCCUUUCCCUGGUGGCCAGAGAUAGAAACAGAAGUCUGUUGCUCACAGUUCUGGGGCUGGGAAGGCCAGGCCACACACUCAGGACCUGCCCGGCGGCCCACGCGUGGAUGGCCAUCCUCUCACUGUGUCCUCAUGUUGCUCUCUGUGGUCUCUAUGGUGACACUAAUUCUAUUCACAAAGGCUCCCCUUGUGAGCCAGUACCUCCAAGGCCCCGCCUCCUAAUAUCAUCACCGUGGGAGUUAGGACUCCAACAUGUGCGCUUGGGGGAUUGGAUGCUCAGUCUAGCUGAAGAGCUUUCUCUCAGUGUGCCCCAGUUUAUCUGGAACAAAAUGAGAUGGACCAUUUUAUUGCAGCAAGUGAGAGGCAGAAGUGUUUCUAUCUUAGGAGACUUCCACCUUUGUCCCAGCAAUUUCAGUGGGGUUUACCGGCAGUGUUUGCUUCCCUCUAUCCUUUGGUCAAUCAGUGUGAAAGGACAGCCAACAUUUCAAAUAUUUUUAAAUUAAAAAUAGAUUACAAAAACACUUUCGGACUCUUUUUCCAGCUGUAAAAUUAAGCUCAUCUACCUAGAAACUCAGUAAAUGAAGUGCAUCCCUACAUAUUUGCUGAGGGAAAGAGUUCAACAGUCUUUCUUUCUGAGGGAAAGAGAAUUUUUUUCCAAAUUCUGG
ensembl:lncRNA